UACAGAGGGGGCAAGCGUUGUUCGGAAUUACUGGGCGUAAAGGGCGCGUAGGCGGCCUGUUAAGUCGAACGUGAAAUCCCCGGGCUCAACCCGGGAACUGCGUCCGAAACUGCUGAGCUUGAGUGCCGGAGAGGAUGGCGGAAUUCCCCAAGUAGAGGUGAAAUUCGUAGAUAUGGGGAGGAACACCGGUGGCGAAGGCGGCCAUCUGGACGGUAACUGACGCUGAGACGCGAAAGCGUGGGGAGCAAACAGG
rnacentral:rRNA from 1 species